AUGAUGGAGGCUGAUCUCAAGGCCCAGGCGACCACCGCGAUGGGUUUGCUGCAUGGCAUCUCCCAUGCGAGUUUGCCUCUUGAGUUCAUCGACUCAGCUCUGCGCACCAUCCAGGAAACCGACUCUGCCAUCAGGCCGCGGGUCCAGCCAGAUAAUGCUGCGCAACGGCUCACCUCCAGUCACUCUCUGGCCUUUGCGACUCGCGAGGUAGCCGAGCUGGAGCUGUCGGUGGAGGCAGCUAUCACCGUCGUCUCCCGCUGGCUUGAUUCCAAGGUGGAUGGACUGCAGGGGCUGCCCGCCAACACGUGGAGAGUCCAAUCAGAUGAGUUGGUCGCUGCCGUGGCCAAUGCCGGUGAGAUGCUUGAGGCAGCUGCAAUGAAUUGGUACUAUGCAUCUGGUGUCCUUGAUGUAAUCGUCACUUGCUGGUUCAACCACAUUCCUCUCAACAUUCGCGAGGUUUGGGUGCAGGAUGCGAGGACAUCGCUCGCCUCCGCCCGUGAUCAUCUGAAUGAUGCGCGCGCCAGCGUCAGCAAGGCAUGCGCCGCUGCCGCCAGAGCCCGUGAUGCUGGGAAGAUUAUCCUUGACUUCCUGUAG
rnacentral:rRNA from 1 species